UUCUCACCAACAAGGUACAAGGGUUCCCUUUUCUCCACAUUCUCAUCGACACUUGUGAUUUCUUGUCUUUUUGGUAAGCCCAUCUCAUGCAAUAGGAUCAGGAUGACUUGGUGGAAUUUAUGAACAUAAACUAGACUACUGACUCGAUAGCUAUUUUUUAUGUAGUAGCUUUGAUUUUUAUGAUUAGUCUUUUUAAGGGAAUAUUUUAAUCUUAUAACAACAAAUGAACUUAACUGUAAAUCACUUAUGAGGUGAUUGAAUUUGAUCAUAAUACCAAUAUGCGUUAAAAUGUAGAGGAAGAUCAGACUACUAACACUCGAUCUGCAUAAAUGGAAGGUGGGAGCCUGAAAUAACCUGCAAAGGUUUUGUUAUCAGGGAUAUUAUAGACUCAGAAAUCUAGCUGAGAAGUGUGCUGCAAUCCUCUAUUGUUCUAAAGAGAAAAUUCCAUGUUCUAAACCACCUCAUGUAGAAAAUGGACUUAUUAAAGGAACACUUGAACCCAGGCUUUAUGCACAUGGCACUAAAUUAAGUUAUAUUUGUGAAGAUGGUUACAAGGUAUCCAAAAAAGAUGAGAUAACUUGCCACAUAGGAAAAUGGAAUUCUCCACUUAAGUG